rnacentral:rRNA from 1 species
ACCAGAAUGCUAAGGGUAAUGCUCUUUGGUUUUCGCCCAAGGAAUGGGGCCGCCGACCGAUCCAGGUUUGUUGGUNAGGUAANUGGCUCACCAAAGCCUUUUUACCGGUUNCGGCCCGUUGGAAGCGGAAGCCCGGAAGAUGGGCACUUGAGACCAAGGGCCCAGGCCNUACGGGGGCGCAGCAGUCGCGAAAACUUUGCAAUAAGCGAAAGCUUGACAGGGCUAUCCCGAGUGCCAUCCGCUGAGGAAGGCUUUUACCCAGUCUAGAACGCUGGGGGAAUAAGGAGAGGGCAAGUCUGGUGUCAGCCGCCGCGGUAAUACCAGCUCUCCGAGUGGUGUGGAUGUUUAUUGGGCCUAAAGCAUCCGUAGCUGGCUAAGUUAGUCCCCUGUUAAAUCCACCGAAUUAAUCGUUGGAUCGCGGGGGAUACUGCUUAGCUAGGGGACGAGAGAGGCAGACGGUAUUUCCGGGGUAGGGGUGAAAUCCUAUAAUCCCGGGAAGACCACCAGUGGCGAAGGCUGUCUGCUAGAACGCGCCCGACGGUGAGGGAUGAAAGCUGGGGGAGCGAACCGGAUUAGAUACCCGGGUAGUCCCAGCUGUAAACGAUGCAGACUAGGUGUUUGGACGGCCACGUGCCGUUCUAGUGCCGCAGGGAAGCUGUUAAGUCUGCCGCCUGAGGAGUACGAUCGCAAGAUUGAAACUUAAAGGAAUUGGCGGGGGAGCACAAGGGCGAAUUCCAGCACACUGGCGGCCGUUACUAGUGGAUCCGAGCUCGGUACCAAGCUUGGC